UACGAGGGGGGCGAGCGUUGUUCGGAAUUAUUGGGCGUAAAGGGUGCGUAGGCGGUUUGGUAAGUCUCUUGUGAAAUCUAUGGGCUCAACUCAUAGUCUGCAAGGGAAACUGCCGGGCUUGAGUGUGGGAGAGGUGAGUGGAAUUUCCGGUGUAGCGGUGAAAUGCGUAGAUAUCGGAAGGAACACCUGUGGCGAAGGCGGGUCUCUGGACAGUUCCUGACACUGAGACACGAAGGCCAGGGGAGCAAACGGG
rnacentral:rRNA from 1 species